AAUGGUGAGAAAAAGGUUCACUGGAUUGCGUGGAAGAAAAUGUGUGAGAGUAAGCAGGAGGGAGGGAUGGGGUUUCGAGACAUGGAAGCUUUCAACCAGGCCUUACUUGCUAAGCAAGCCUAGAGACUGUUGCAAGUCCCUUCUUCUCUGUGUGGGCGCGUCCUUAAGGCACGCUACUAUGCUCAUGGAUCUAUCCUCAAUGCGACUUGUCCGAGUGGUGCAUCAUAUAACUACUAG
rnacentral:rRNA from 1 species